rnacentral:lncRNA from 1 species
GGGGGGUGGGUGUGGGUGUGAAGAAGUGUGCUGAGUUACCGUGAAUGAGGACCUGCGUCUAGCAGUUACCGUAGAAACGUGACGUCAGUAAGGCGACCGUCACGACUUUUUAAUGGAGACCGAAGCGGCCUGGCUAAGAGAACAGCUCCUCAGGCCGGUGGCCGAGCUCAUAUCAAGUGUCUGAAGGAAGCAGGCUGUGAGAGUCUGUGUCCAGAGGGCGGCUGGAGCUUCUACUCCAGAUUCAAGGGCAGUGGUCCUGAGGAGACCCCAAUGGUUCACACGUCUUUGGUGGGAUCUGAUUCCUGGUUCAAGAAGUUUGAUGAUGGCGGUACAUUGACGCCACCUCAUGACAGAAACCUGAACUGCAGUUUGAAUAUCGUGAAGCAGAAAGGUGGGAAGAAGGGGCUGUGACCCACACCCACCUGGCAGAGCUUUCUGGGAGUCUGGGUGGAAAGGGGGCAUUCCCAGGGUACAGGGAUAUUGAAAUAUCCCGACGGAAAGUGAAGCCUCCUCCUGUGCUGAAGAGAAAGCUUUAUGUGAGUGGAAGUAAAAGAUGAUUUAAAAUUUUUUAUUCUUUGAAACCUCUGGAUAAAUAGCUAGAAAUUAUAUUAGCCAAAAUGGAGCAAGACCAUUUAUAAUCUUUGUAAUCAUCUUUUACACUUUUAUGACCAUCUUUUCACAUAAACCUAUUUCUAUGAUGUAUUUUAAGUAUUUAUAUAAAAUUUCAAUUUUUAAUAUUAUUUGUAUCAUAUGAUGCUCCAAACUAUUCACCAGUAACCAAAUAGUGAAAAUCUAGUGCUUUACCAAAUUUUCUGUUACAAACAACAGUGUACUUAACACCCUUGCUCAUAUGUAUGCAUAUAUCUUUGUAAGUAUUUCUUUAUAAUUUCUUGAAAAUGUUCUUUAUAAACCAGGAAAAUUGUUAUAUUAAUACCACACUGGAUAUACUAUUACUAGUUUACAUUCCUAAUGUCAUUGUAAGAAAGUGCCUGUUCCUCCACACAUUAGAAAUAAUGUGAAUCCGGAUUUCUCUUGUGGUACAGUGGGUUAAGGAUCCAGCAUUGUCACGUAGUGGCUUGGGUUACUGCUGUGGUGCAGGUUUGAUCUCUGGCCUGGGAACUUCCGCAUGCCACAAGCAUGGUCAAAAGAAAGAAAUAAUGUGAGUCAGUGCUUUCCCUGUAGGUAACAAAUCAUCUCUCUUCAUUGUUUUCGUUUGGGGUUUUUUUUUUUUUGCCCCCACCCCGCCUUCAUGGCCUAUGGAAGUUCCCUGGGGCCAAGGAUGGAAACUGAGCCACAUCUGCAACCCAAGCCACAGCAGUACAACACCCAGUUCUUAACUGCUAGGCCAUCAGGGAACUCCUUUCCUCAUUUUUUUCAUUAUCACUUGUUCUUGCUACUUUGUUCUAGAACUGCAUUAUGAUGUUGGUGAAAAUAAACAAUCUAUAAUAGGAAUAGAAAAGAGUUUU